UUGGAGACAUCCAUUUUGCUUCGCUAGAGCCAUAGAGUUCGCAGCAAGCUAGAAGGGCAGCGCACCCGGUCUAUUUUCACUCGCGGGAAGGGAGCCGGAGGCGCGGGUCGCUCAGCGGCGGGCGCGGCUGGCGGGAAGGGGCUUUUUCAGCGCCAGUGGCCAUAAGAGCAUUAGUGGCUCCCAACAGGGGUUGACUACACAUCAGUGACGAAAGGCUCCGAUAGAGAACAGCAGGCGACCCUCCAGAUGCCAUUCAAAUGGCAUUCAAAUAAAGGGACAUAAAGCGUUACAAUCGCUAUAUAUCGAAAGGGCAGUAGCACAUAAGCAAAACUAAGAACAGAUUCCUCAAAAGCAGUCGAUACGGUUCAUUACGCAGUUCAUAGUGAUGCGAAAUAUCAGAAACAGCUGCUGUGACAAAUGACACGGUCUCCCUGGUCAGGGGCUUCUUCAUAGAGUUCACCAAGGGCGCUUCUUUUUAACCCUCAGAGAGGAUCGAUCGCUUCUGUGCUGUUUUUGCAGGGAUGGAGCAACAGGUUCCAGAGUGUCUGAGAGGAAACAGCUAUACUUUUACAACCACUGAGGAAGUAAAAGCAGUGAGUGGAGAUGCUAUUCAGCAGAAAACAGCACAAUGAAAAAAGGACAGGAAGCCCCUUCCACAUCCAAUUUCAGCCCAAUGGCAGCAUGGUUUUAAAUAAAAUCCCAAGCACUCAAAGAACUGCCAUCAGUUUUGCAAACCCAGCCAACAUACUGUGUGAAUCGCUGAGAGUAUUUGCUUUGUGUGGUGUUGCCACAAAAGUCAACCAGAUAGUGAAAUAAAGACAAUACAGUAGUAAUUUUUAAAAUGUGACCAAAUGCUGUUCUACAUUUUCUGCAAAAAAGGAAAAUAUAGCAGCUGUGCACUCUUAAGCUGAUGAAAUUUUAAAGGUGCCCUCAGACUUAUCUGAGCUGUACAACCACCAACUCCAGAAAAUGCAGUGGCUUUGAGUUUUGUAUUUCAAACCAGACACAAGUAGUAGCCAAAAAUAGAAAUUUGCUAAUAGCAAACAACAGAGAAUUUAGGCUUUGCUAAGUGAAUGGGUAAUAGUAAAAUCUAUUACAAGGCUACAUUAUUUUUGUAGCUUGUGUUUUUCUACUUCCCUACACACAUACCAGUGUUUGUAGAAAAAGAGGCAAUACGUUAUUUAUUCCAGAAUAGUGUUUAAUGUAAUUGUAGGACAGUUAUGGAGUCACAUUUAACCCACAUAUUAUGGGUUAGGAUACUGAUAGAAAUACUGUACUGUACAUCCUUAUUAGCUAUCAGUGUAAUAUAACUGAAGUAUUUGGUUCUUACAGAUAAAUAGACAAUUCAAGGCAAACUUCUACAUUUGCUCCCAAUGCAUUUCAUUAUCUAUGAACCUUUGCCAUACUUUUUUUUAGUCACAGUAUGAGAGUACAAAGCACAAAAGGAAAUUAAAUUCCUAUGGAUUGUGAGAAUGGUGCUAUAUUGCCUGAAUGGUUUUCCUCCAUGUAACAUGCAUAGGCUACAAUCUAAAACAAACUGACUUAAGUCCAUUGGUGUAAAUGAGCUUAAGCAUACAUAACUCUGCAUUAUACUGUGCCCCUAACACAGCAAAUACCAGAAAUAAAAUUUCUUCAAUUUGAAAGCUGCACUGUAUAGUAUCCUAGAAAGAGCAAUCAGGUUUUUAAGGCAACGUACUAAGAUUUCUGCACCAUUUUAAUUUUAAAAAUAGAGAAAUAUCAAAGACCUCUUGAGCUUUCAUAUAUAUGUGUAGAUCAUAAAAAAGCAGUAAUAUUUAAAAAAUUCAGUGCACAAAGUCAUAGCCAGGUUAUUUAGUACAGAAAACGUGGAGGUCAUUUUUCUUACAGCAAGAUGUUUUCCUCAAAAGUACAUAGACACAAUUUUCUUUCUAGCUGCAGUCCAUACAUGUUGCAUAAGAUUUUCUUUGAUUAACAAUGUAUAAAAUGCCAGUAAGACCACAUUUUAAAAACACGAAAGUGUUAAAUGUUAACCCAAUUAUUCCCUCCUCCCCUUUUGUGUAUACCAAACUAAGAUAAUCAUCUGUUGUGUAUCACACCACUAUAAAUAAUUCAAGAGAUGCAAAAUUAAUGUUCCUCUACAGUUUUUAAUGGUAAAUGAAGAACAGUUUAAGAAUCUA